GACACUUUUUUGUUUUUGCUAAGAAAAAAGGUAGAUCGUUUUGUUCAAGGCCUAAGCAAAUGUCA
rnacentral:tRNA from 1 species